UUGUCUUCAGAGAGUCUUCCUCCUGAUUUCAAGACAAUGUGCGCAGUCCUAUGUGUCCCAUGGAAACACAACCACAUCCAAUAGCUGAAGAGGACUGUCUUUUGACAAAAAGCCUCACUGCAGAGGAUCUCCAUCUCAAGAGCUUCUCUCCUGGAGUACACUGGCCUCUCCAGAUGCUGACAGCAGCUUCCUGACUUCGCUGAUUCAGCCCUGACCGGCCUGCUCUUGGAGGAUGCUUCAUCAUGUAAGCUUCCUGGUGAUAACCGGCCUUAGCCCACUAUGCCUGUCUAUUCUCGUACCCUUUCUUAAUGGAAUUUCUGCCCAUCCAUAACUGAGCAGUUGUGGAAUCUUAGAAGUAGGUUGUCCAGAAUGUGUUCUUCUAGCAGCCUACCUUAUCAUCCUUCCUUUGUGGCGUUUGUCCUUAGAACUGCAAGAUGGAUGCUGUACAUGGAGGCAUCAAAUCUAUGUUCUCGGCAGGAAGACUGGGGAAAGAAAUGGGAAGGCAAUAAUCCUCUCAUCCAACACAAUUUUACAGUAAGUUUUCCUCCCUGAUCUAAGUGUACGGUGUGCCUUAUUUUCUUACAAAGAGAUAAUUAACUAACACUGGACAUUGAUACCUUUCUCAACCUCUUCAAACAAUUAGCAUCAAAUUAUUUCUUCUUGUGGAAGCUGAAAAGGAAAUCAUGAACAAAUGCUAUUCAAUUACAAUAAUUUUUUUCCUCUAUUUAAUAGUAGUCUUAGAAACACAUCUGUAACAGCCUGGCCAAUGGAGGCUCAGUGGCUGAGUGUCAACCUAUGAACCAAGAGUGUUUGAUUCCCAGGCACAUGCCCGGGUUGCAGCUCAGCCCCCAGUGGAGGACAUGCAGGA